AAUAAGUUUAUUUUUCAGUUUAUACAUAAAUAUUUUAACUGUUCGUCUUAUUUGAUUUUUUUAUUAAUAUUUUUAUUGUUACUAGAUGAUAAAACAUGAAUAGUAUUUUAUACGUGACUAAUGUUUUUUAAGUUUUUAUACAAAUUUUUCAAAUAAGACGAAUGAUUAAACGCUAGACACAGAAAUC
rnacentral:pre_miRNA from 1 species